rnacentral:tRNA from 1 species
GCCUUCGUGAUGUAGUGGUUAGCACGCUCGACUCGUAACCGAGAGGUCCAUGGUUCGAAUCCCGAAGAGGGCA